rfam:Rhodnius prolixus Rhodnius_prolixus-3.0.3-614.8, whole genome shotgun sequence.
GUACUCGCUUCGGCGGUAAAUAUAAUAAAAUUGGAACGAUACAGAGAAGAUUGGCAUGGGCCCUGCGCAAG